rnacentral:lncRNA from 1 species
GAUUUUAUAGUGGUUAGUCAACCAAUUUAGGGAGUAUUAUGAAGUUUUACUAAAUUAAUUGACAAAAAAAUUAAACGACGCCCAUGUACCAUAAAAUAGAGUUUAAUAUAUAUUAAUACAAAUGCAGAAUGUGUUUAGAAAUUUUAAAACAAUACUAAAGAUCAUAUUCUUCAGUCUAUAGAGCAUUUACCGAAAAAUUCAAUAUUUUCGUA